GGUUAAGUGACUAAGCGUACACGGUGGAUGCCUUGGCAGUCAGAGGCGAUGAAAGACGUAGUAACUUGCGAUAAGCCCAGAUUAGGUAGUAACAACCAUUUGAGUCUGGGAUUUCUGAAUGGGGAAACCCACGUGCAUAAGCACGUAUCCUUACCUGAAUACAUAGGGUAAGGAGGCGAACCGGGGAACUGAAACAUCUAAGUACCCCGAGGAAAAGAAAUCAACCGAGAUUCCGAAAGUAGCGGCGAGCGAAAUUGGACUAGCCCUUAAGCUUUACACGCGUUAGACGAACGGUCUGGAAAGUCCGACGAUACAGGGUGAUAGUCCCGUAGUUGACGACGUGUGUUCAGUGAAAUCGAGUAGGGCGGGACACGUGAUAUCCUGUCUGAAUAUGGGGGACCAUCCUCCAAGGCUAAAUACUACUGACUGACCGAUAGUGAACCAGUACCGUGAGGGAAAGGCGAAAAGAACCCCUGUGAGGGGAGUGAAAUAGAACCUGAAACCGUGUACGUACAAGCAGUAGGAGCACCUUCGUGGUGUGACUGCGUACCUUUUGUAUAAUGGGUCAGCGACUUAUAUUCAGUGGCAAGGUUAACCAUCUAGGGGAGCCGUAGGGAAACCGAGUCUUAACUGGGCGUUCAGUCUCUGGAUAUAGACCCGAAACCAGGUGAUCUAGCCAUGGGCAGGUUGAAGGUUGAGUAACAUCAACUGGAGGACCGAACCGACUAAUGUUGAAAAAUUAGCGGAUGACUUGUGGCUAGGGGUGAAAGGCCAAUCAAACCUGGAGAUAGCUGGUUCUCCCCGAAAGCUAUUUAGGUAGCGCCUCGGACGAAUACUACUGGGGGUAGAGCACUGUUAAGGCUAGGGGUCAUCCCGACUUACCAACCCUUUGCAAACUCCGAAUACCAGUAAGUACUAUCCGGGAGACACACGGCGGGUGCUAACGUCCGUCGUGGAGAGGGAAACAACCCAGACCGCCAGCUAAGGUCCCAAAUUACUACUAAGUGGGAAACGAUGUGGGAAGGCUCAGACAGCCAGGAUGUUGGCUUAGAAGCAGCCAUCAUUUAAAGAAAGCGUAAUAGCUCACUGGUCGAGUCGGCCUGCGCGGAAGAUGUAACGGGGCUAAGUAGUAAACCGAAGCUGCGGCAAUGUGCUUUUGCACAUUGGGUAGGGGAGCGUUCUGUAAGCGGUUGAAGGUGUGUGGUAACGCAUGCUGGACGUAUCAGAAGUGCGAAUGCUGACAUGAGUAACGAUAAAGGGGUGAAAAACCUCCUCGCCGGAAGACCAAGGGUUCCUGUCCAACGUUAAUCGGGGCAGGGUAAGUCGACCCCUAAGGCGAGGCCGAAAGGCGUAGUCGAUGGGAAACGGGUUAAUAUUCCCGUACUUCUUACAAUUGCGAUGGGGGGACGGAGAAGGCUAGGUGGGCCUGGCGACGGUUGUCCAGGUUCAAGUGCGUAGGCUUAAGAGUUAGGUAAAUCCGGCUCUUUCUAAGGCUGAGACACGACGUCGAGCUACUACGGUAGUGAAGUCAUUGAUGCCAUGCUUCCAGGAAAAGCCUCUAAGCUUCAGAUUGUAAGGAAUCGUACCCCAAACCGACACAGGUGGUCGGGUAGAGAAUACCAAGGCGCUUGAGAGAACUCGGGUGAAGGAACUAGGCAAAAUGGUACCGUAACUUCGGGAGAAGGUACGCUCUUGAUGGUGAAGUCCCUUGCGGAUGGAGCUGACGAGAGUCGCAGAUACCAGGUGGCUGCAACUGUUUAUUAAAAACACAGCACUGUGCAAAAUCGUAAGAUGACGUAUACGGUGUGACGCCUGCCCGGUGCCGGAAGGUUAAUUGAUGGGGUUAGACUUCGGUCGAAGCUCUUGAUCGAAGCCCCGGUAAACGGCGGCCGUAACUAUAACGGUCCUAAGGUAGCGAAAUUCCUUGUCGGGUAAGUUCCGACCUGCACGAAUGGCGUAAUGAUGGCCACGCUGUCUCCACCCGAGACUCAGUGAAAUUGAAAUCGCUGUGAAGAUGCAGUGUACCCGCGGCUAGACGGAAAGACCCCGUGAACCUUUACUACAGCUUGGCACUGAACAUUGACCCUACAUGUGUAGGAUAGGUGGGAGGCUUUGAAGCACGUACGCCAGUAUGUGUGGAGCCGUCCUUGAAAUACCACCCUUGUAGUGUUGAUGUUCUAACGUCGACCCCUAAUCGGGGUUGCGGACAGUGCCUGGUGGGUAGUUUGACUGGGGCGGUCUCCUCCCAAAGAGUAACGGAGGAGCACGAAGGUGGGCUAAUCACGGUUGGACAUCGUGAGGUUAGUGCAAUGGCAUAAGCCCGCUUGACUGCGAGAAUGACAAUUCGAGCAGGUGCGAAAGCAGGUCAUAGUGAUCCGGUGGUUCUGAAUGGAAGGGCCAUCGCUCAACGGAUAAAAGGUACUCCGGGGAUAACAGGCUGAUACCGCCCAAGAGUUCAUAUCGACGGCGGUGUUUGGCACCUCGAUGUCGGCUCAUCACAUCCUGGGGCUGAAGUCGGUCCCAAGGGUAUGGCUGUUCGCCAUUUAAAGUGGUACGCGAGCUGGGUUUAGAACGUCGUGAGACAGUUCGGUCCCUAUCUCGCCGUGGGCGUUGGAAGAUUGAAGGGGCUGCUCCUAGUACGAGAGGACCGGAGUGGACGAACCUCUGGUGUUCGGGUUGUGUCGCCAGACGCAUUGCCCGGUAGCUAAGUUCGGAAUCGAUAACCGCUGAAAGCAUCUAAGCGGGAAGCGAGCCCUGAGAUGAGUCUUCCCUGAUACUUUAAGUAUCCUAAAGGGUUGUCGGAGACUACGACGUUGAUAGGUCAGGUGUGUAAGUGCUGUGAGGCAUUGAGCUAACUGAUACUAAUUGCCCGUGAGGCUUAACCAU
rnacentral:rRNA from 1 species